AAUGAUGGAAUGACUCUCGGCAACGGAUAUCUCGGCUCUCGCAUCGAUGAAGAACGUAGCGAAAUGCGAUACGUGGUGUGAAUUGCAGAAUCCCGUGAACCAUCGAGUUUUUGAACGCAAGUUGCGCCCGAGGCCAUUUGGCUGAGGGCACGCCUGCCUGGGUGUCAGUU
rnacentral:rRNA from 2 species